rnacentral:rRNA from 1 species
UGUGACCUACGGGACGCAGCAGUGGGGAAUAUUGCACAAUGGGGGAAACCCUGAUGCAGCGACGCCGCGUGAGCGAUGAAGUAUUUCGGUAUGUAAAGCUCUAUCAGCAGGGAAGAAAAUGACGGUACCUGACUAAGAAGCCCCGGCUAACUACGUGCCAGCAGCCGCGGUAAUACGUAGGGGCCAAGCGUUAUCCGGAUUUACUGGGUGUAAAGGGGGCGCAGACGGCGAUGCAAGCCAGGAGUGAAAGCCCGGGGCCCAACCCCGGGACUGCUCUUGGAAC